rnacentral:rRNA from 1 species
UUUUCCUACGGGGCGCAGCAGUGGGGGAUAUUGCACAAUGGGGGGAACCCUGAUGCAGCGACGCCGCGUGGGUGAAGAAGCGCCUCGGCGCGUAAAGCCCUGUCAGCAGGGAAGAAAAUGACGGUACCUGAAGAAGAAGCCCCGGCUAACUACGUGCCAGCAGCCGCGGUAAUACGUAGGGGGCAAGCGUUAUCCGGAUUUACUGGGUGUAAAGGGAGCGUAGGCGGUUCAGCAAGUCAGAAGUGAAAGCCCGGGGCUCAACUCCGGGACUGCUUUUGAAACUGUUGAACUAGAUUGCAGGAGAG